ACAGAAUGUUUCUUUUGGACACCUUUCUUUUGGACACUAGUUUAGUGUGGUUGUCUUAUUCUAAAGUGCAUACAUGCUUACAUGAUGGAUACAUGCACACACACAUUCAUACAUACAAUUACACCAAACAUAUGACAAUUUAGGUGUGUAUUUUUUUCCUUACCCUUAACGUUGAAAGAAGGAAAAAAGGGUUGGAAAAUGUUGACAAUAAUUUAUAUAUCUGGGUACAUUUCUCACAUUUUUAAGGUUUCCCAAAACCGGAUAGAUGAGGAGGCAGUGGGAACUUGCCCUAAGAAGGAACGGUUUUGUUUCCUCUGACAGGACACUGCUCUGCAGUGAUCACUUCAGGAGUGAGGACUUUGAGAGAACGGGGCAGAAUGUCUGGAUUAAAGAUGGUGUUGUGCCAAACAUUUUCAACUUUCCAGCUCAUCUUCAAAGGCUGGUAACAACAAGAAGCACAACCACCUCUAGAAGAGUGGAAGACAACCUGCCAAUGAACUUGUCUCAGGAUGUACCUCAACCUGAUGAUGUGAGUGUUUGCAUGUGGAAUGUCAAACAAAUGAGAGCAUCAUAUGGCUUGUUACAAACAAAUGAGAGCAUCAUGUGGCUUGAUAUAUUAAAUCCUUUAUCUUGGUGGUACCCAGAAAGGUCUAUAAUGGUGUUAGUAGUCUAAGAGCCCAAUAUUAUUUGAGGUGGUACCCUGUGUGAAAAGUUUGAGAACUACUACAAAUCAUUUCUAACAUUUGAGUGAUUAAUUGCUUUAACCCUUUAACAUCCACCCUCCCUUUGUGGUUGGUCUGUUGGUCAGCAACCCCAAAACGAGGGUGGUUGUUAAAAUGCCACCAGGAUUAACACUUUAUCUUUUUCUUUUCUUUUUUUUUUUCAAUUUGGGCAUCGGGAACGAUUAAAUAAUUAUGACCAUCCUCAAAUUCAACAAUAUGCAAGAACUUGGAUAAAACUGUUUAUACCUACCUCAUACUUACCUCAGAAGCACCCUUAUUGUCACAUGUCAGAUUUACAGGUUUAAAGCAGUGCAGCAAUUUAAUUUUAAAAAGCAUAGCCACAGAGGAAAUGGAGAGAAAUCAAACUAUGCCUCAUACUUGGGUGUUUACUAUCUGAUACCUGUUGACACUCAGUUAUAGUGAUGAUUUCAGUGCUUCAAUACAGUCGCAAUCCCAGAGCCAAAGGGUUCAAAGCCCCCCUUGGUUCUAGGAAUUGGACAAGCACCAGGGAGUUCUUGUCAAAAGCCAGGGGGUACUUGCUCACUUUGAAGAUGGAAGAUGGCAAACCCCUUUACCGAACAAAGAGGUCUUUUAAAAUAGUGACUGUUGUGUUAGUGAUGCACUGACAUCAUUUAUAGUCGCCAGUACCCAGUACAAAUUCUUUAAUAUAAUUAUAUUAUCAGAAUGAGGCGGCUGUUUUAGAAAAUAUGGGUUUAUUUUAUUCUUCAUAAAAUGUAUACAAGUAGUCAAUUUACAAAUCAUUAAAUUAUCUAAGGUAAAACUCUACAGGUUUCAGUGCAUCCCUCAAGUACAUGAUGUAAGUUCAUGAGAUGCUCUGUUCUCUUGUUUAUCUAUCUUCUGCAUCGAGUUCAGAUGCUCUGUCCUCCUGUCUGAAUCGAAUUCAUAAGAUGCUCUGUCCUGUAAGAUGUUCGGUCCUGUCUGCAUCGAGUUCAUAAGAUGCUCUUUUCUGUCUGCAUCAAGUUCAUAAAGUGGUACGUAUUAUUAAUAUGAUACUAUCUUGUUCCAAUAUGUUUGCUGUCUGCAAAUUUGUUUUAGUUCCAAUUCUCUUGUAUUCAGUUUGUUUCUCCCCAGAUGCUGAUGUCAAAUUGGUAUGUAUUGGAUGGUCUGCAUGUUAUGUUGUGAAUUGAUUCAAGAAGGUUUAGUGUCCUAAAAGUAGUUUUAAGGAUCCUAAACCUCACACUGAUUAUACUUUUAAGGUCAGGGAUGCAAACUAGUCAGCUGCCCUGAGAAGUGCUGCUCUGGGAGCAUUCACUAUUUUCACCCUAUACCGUUAGUUUGCAUCCCUGCUUUCUUGUGUCCUGUUUUGGCAGAAUCAUCGUAGUAAUACAGUAUUUGCUUUUGAAGGUUCCUCUCUGUCCUGGGCUUCAUCAGAAAAAUUGACACAUUGAUGUCGAUGGUUCCUGUGCUGCUUGAAGGACAGCAAUAUGUCCUGACCUACAGGUUCAGCCAGGACCACUUGGAGCUUCUCUUCAACUCCAUCAGAGCAUCCGGUAGGGUUCAUCAUUUAUAUUUACCAGCCGCUACACUAAGUGACACAAAGUGUCAGCAAAUGCUUGUAUUGUUUUCAGUUUGUCGGUCUAUAUGUUUUUAUUAUUUGUAAAAUGUGUUUUCUGAAGACAUACAUAGUAACCCUAACCCUAAGUCAUACACAGUACCUGGAAGUGUUUGUGCUCGGGGAGCACAUCGGCGAAAUGCAGUAUGGCAUAGACAGCCACCACCAUAUGCUGUUAACAUUAGUUGUGUCCCUGUUUUUUAAGCUAAGGCUGCACCACAUCGCUAAAAUGACUAACCUUACCAUACAGAGCAACAACAUGCGAUAGAAGCUCAAUAAAACCGUUCUUUUCAAAGGGCA
ensembl:lncRNA